ACUCAAAUGAAUUGACGGGGGCCCGCACAAGCGGUGGAGCAUGUGGUUUAAUUCGAAGCAACGCGAAGAACCUUACCAGGUCUUGACAUCCUCUUGCCCUCCCUAGAGAUAGGGAUUUCCCUUCGGGGACAAGAGUGACAGGUGGUGCAUGGUUGUCGUCAGCUCGUGUCGUGAGAUGUUGGGUUAAGUCCCGCAACGAGCGCAACCCUUAAGAUUAGUUGCCAGCAUUUAGUUGGGCACUCUAAUUUGACUGCCGGUGACAAACCGGAGGAAGGUGGGGAUGACGUCAAAUCAUCAUGCCCCUUAUGACCUGGGCUACACACGUGCUACAAUGGAUGGUACAAAGGGCAGCGAAACCGCAAGGUCAAGCCAAUCCCAUAAAACCAUUCUCAGUUCGGAUUGCAGGCUGCAACUCGCCUGCAUGAAGCCGGAAUCGCUAGUAAUCGCGGAUCAGAAUGCCGCGGUGAAUACGUUCCCGGGCCUUGUACACACCGCCCGU
rnacentral:rRNA from 1 species